rnacentral:rRNA from 1 species
AUUGAACGCUGGCGGCAGGCUUAACACAUGCAAGUCGAGCGGGGUGAUGGUGCUUGCACUAUCACUUAGCGGCGGACGGGUGAGUAAUGCUUAGGAAUCUGCCUAUUAGUGGGGGACAACAUCUCGAAAGGGAUGCUAAUACCGCAUACGUCCUACGGGAGAAAGCAGGGGAUCACUUGUGACCUUGCGCUAAUAGAUGAGCCUAAGUCGGAUUAGCUAGUUGGUGGGGUAAAGGCCUACCAAGGCGACGAUCUGUAGCGGGUCUGAGAGGAUGAUCCGCCGAACUAGGACUGAGAAACGGCCCAGACUCCUCCGGGAGGCAGCAGUGGGGAAUAUUGGACAAUGGGGGGAACCCUGAUCCAGCCAUGCCGCGUGUGUGAAGAAGGCCUUAUGGUUGUAAAGCACUUUAAGCGAGGAGGAGGCUCUUUUGGUUAAUACCCAAGAUGAGUGGACGUUACUCGCAGAAUAAGCACCGGCUAACUCUGUGCCAGCCGCCGCCGUAA